rnacentral:rRNA from 1 species
GGGGAAUUUUCCGCAAUGGGCGAAAGCCUGACGGAGCAAGACCGCGGGGGGGAGGAAGGUUCUUGGAUUGUCAACCCCUUCUCUCAGGGAAGAAGAAAGUGACGGUACCUGAAGAAGAAGCAUCGGCUAACUCCGNUNCCAGCAGCCGCGGUAAUACGGGGGAUGCAAGCGUUAUCCGGAAUGAUUGGGCGUAAAGAGUCCGUAGGUGGCUCAUCAAGUCUGCUGUUAAAGAGCGAGGCUUAACUUCGUAAAAGCAGUGGAAACUGAAGAGCUAGAGUAUAGUAGGGGCAGAGGGAAUUCCUGGUGUAGCGGUGAAAUGCGUANAGAUCAGGAAGAACACCGGUGGCGAAAGCGCUCUGCUGGGCUAAAACUGACACUGAGGGACGAAAGCUANGGGAGCGAAUGGGAUUANAUACCCCAUAGUCA